GGCGUUUUUCGCGCAGGCGGAGCUCGACCGCCCACUGCGGCGGUGAUCGCCUUCAUCGAUGCUCACCGGGACGCCUACGGGGUCGAGCUGAUCUGCAGGGUGUUGCCGAUGAACAGCG
rfam:Thioalkalivibrio nitratireducens DSM 14787, complete genome.